UAUCUUCCUAUCCUCACGCUUCUCUGGUUUUCGCUUUGAUUUUUUUAUGGAAGGUUUGAGAUUUCUUUAAUCAUACAAUCAGCUUGCCCUUAAUUAUUCUUUCACUAUAUUUGACUGUUGUAGUCCUCUUUUAGCUACUCAAAUGACACAUUAAAAAUCCCAAGAAUUUUUUUCUCACUCUGUAAGACAAAAAGGUUUCGAAUCGGACGAUUGGAAGACAAAAAGGUUAUAAUUGUUAUGACUGGAUUGAGCAUGGUAUGUUUAAUUAUGCAGAGGGAAAUGAUUUUACAUCUAUUUGUUUGUAAAUGUGAUUAUAUUCCUGGAAUUUUUCUUUUGAUAAAACUAGUGAUAAGAGCAGAGAAAUUCGAAGCUAAACACCGAUUAAUUUGGGGAGACAAUGCCUUGGAGAGAAGAAACAAUUUUAACUGUUCUCCAAGUUAUAGUGUUGUGUGGUGAUUUUGGAUUUGAACUGAAUGGUGAUGAGUUGUGCAGGAAAAACCACUUUCGUGAAGAGGCAUCUCACUGGUGAAUUCGAGAAGAAAUACGAGCAUAAGAGACAUUUCUGACAUUUCCGUCCAUUGCGCCGUGUUGUUAGUUUGUUGUUAUAAUUAGUUUGACCUUGAUAUGUUUGCUUAUACUUAACAUUCAUUUUCUGUUACUUUUCUAUGCAAACAGCCACCAUUGGUGUGGAGGUUCAUCCACUGGACUUCUUCACAAAUUGUGGAAGGAUCCGCAUUUACUUCUGGGACACUGCUGGGCAAGAGAAGUUUGGCGGUCUUCGAGAUGGUCGCUAGUAAGUGAAUAUUUUCCUGUUGCUUUUGUUCUUCAUAUUUCAUAUCCACAUUAAAAAUCAUUUGAUACCUCACUGAUUUUGUGUAUAUUUAAUGUCUCCCAAAGCAUUUUACAGUAUCUUAUAACUUCUUAUAUAUGUGAUUACCUAUCUGAGUUAUCUGCCCUUUCACUGUGCUGCUUAGUUGAUGGUCUCAUCUAAAAUUUUCCGUUGAAAUAUGCAGCAUUCAUGGGCAAUGUGCAACUACAACUUAGAAACCCUCCUCUACUUGGCAAGGAAGCUUGCAGGGUAAUUACAAACAUUCCCUUUUUUAUUUGGUUGCUAUAGCGUAUCGAUAAUAGUAAUUGAGGUUAACGCUGCUGUUGUUACUUUAGUGACGCAAAUCUUCAUUUCGUCGAGUCUCCGACCCUUGCUCCUCCAGAAGUGCACUUUGACAUGGCUGCCUAACAAUAGUAAGUAUUUUGUCUAUGUUAAUAAACUUGACUCUUCUUUGAUGUUAACGUCGUGGAUUCAGCAUGAAGCUGAAAAUUGUCUCAUCUCGGUUAUUAUUGCUUCUUGCAGGCAUGAAGCUGAGCUUGCGGCAACAGCUGCCCAACCUCUUCCUGAUGACGAUGACGAGGCAUUUGAAUAGACGGGGAGAUGAUGCAUUUCAAUAUACCGUGGCAUAUUUCUUCUAGGAGAUGGCUUUCAUUCAUUCUGUCAAGAUUUGAUUUUCAAAGUGUCAUGUCUUAGAACAAAGGGCCUCUUUUAGUCAGAUUCAACUACAGCUACUAUUAGGUAUUGUUUAUUAUUGGUUGUGCAAUUACAUGUCUAAUUGUCCCCCUUUUUUUUUGUUAGGUGAUCUAUCAUUGGUUGUGCAAUUACAUGUCUAAUUGUCCCCUCUUUUUUUUUUGUAAGGUGAUCUUUCAAUGGGAAUUUCAAGUCAUAAUUCUAGCCUAUCUAAAGGUGAUGGAGGAACAUAUAAGCAUGUCAGCUCUUUGGAAUGCUCUUCUGAUGAAUCUUCGCAGGGUAAGCGAGUAUGCAGAAAUUUUUUUUGUUUGUUUUGAAAUUUAUUUUUUUCAAUGUUUUUAGGUUUAAUUUGUAUCUGUUUUGGAAUGAUGUUUAAGUUUAUUGAACGUAUUAGGAUUCGGUAUUAUUGAGUUGUUUGAAUAUGAAGAAUCUCUUGACAUAAUUGGUUAGUAUUUUUAUUUGUUUUCUGUAUUAGCUUUUUUUUUUUGGGUAAUGUGAGCUUCUAUUAACUUUUGUGUUCCAUUCAACUCUAAAUAAAAUUAAAUGUCCGAGAUUAGGGAAGUUAAUUGCUGACUUAAAACCUGAUAAUGUUUUAUUGCUUGAUGAUACUUGGGAAGUCACUGAUUUUGGUUUAGGUGAGUUUUGUGGUUUUAUAUGUUUUAACAUAAUGCAUGUGAGAAAUCUUUUGUCUUUGUUGAAAUGGAAGAAAUUUCUAUUGAAGACUUUUCUACGAAAAAGUUCAUUUAUGUUUUUCGUAGUCUUUUGCAUAAGUGAACAAUUUGGUAAAGAUAAUGAAAAACAUAACUGAACUUUUUCGUAGAAAAGUCUUCAAAAGAAAUUUCUUCCAUUUCAACAAAGACAAAAGAUUUCUCACAUGCAUUAUUCUAAAACAUAUAAAACCACAAAACUCACCUAAACCAAAAUCAGCGACUUUUCAAGUAUCAUCAAGCACCAACACAUUAUCAGGUUUUAAGUCAGCAAUUAACUUUCCUGACCUCGGACAUUUAAUUUUAUUUAGACCUGAAUGGAACACAAAACUUAAUAGAAACUCACAUUACCAUGCUAAUACAGAAAACAAAUAAAAAUACUAACCAAUUAUGUCAACUGAUUCUUCAGAUUCAAACAACUCAAUAAUUCUGAAUCCUAACAUGUUCAAUAAAGUUAAACAUCAUUCCACAGAUACAAAUUAAACCUAAAACACUGAAGAAAAAAAAAUUUCAAAACAAACAAAAGAUUUUCUGCUUACCUUACAAGAUUCAUCAAAAGAUCUGUCAUGCUUAUAUUUUUCCUCCAUCACCUUCAGAUAGGCUAGAAUUAUGACUCGAAAUUCCCAUUGAAAGAUCACCUUACAAAGAGCUGCCAUGCUUAUAUUUUCCUCCAUCACCUUCAAUUACCAUUAGGUAUUGUUUAUCAGAUAGGCUAGAACACAUGACCUUUUAAGUCAGAUUCAACACAGCGCCUAUUUCAGAGCUUAGGAACAGAAAUUUGAAAAAUUAUACGUUUGAAACACAGGGCCUCUUUUAGUCGUUUCAUUCUUUUCUGUAAUUUUUUAACAAUUAAUAUGGACUGUUGAAUUUUAGAAAGUUUGAAAUCCAACAGCCCAAAAGUGGACACGUGGCCAACGGUAAGAUUUCUGACAUUUUUUAAUGUUUUUUGGCCUAAAAAUCUGGACCGUUGAUCAGGAAAUCAAACGGUUCAGAUUUUGACACAUCACUAACCGUUAGAUUUCAAAUUCAAUUUAUUUUUACUGUUGGAAAUCCAAACUAUCCAGAAAACUAGCUGUUCGAAAUCCAACGCCAUUGCCGAGCCAUGUAGCCAAAUUCUGGCAUUAGUUAGGGCGCUUGCAGCGCGGGCCUCACCUCUGCGAGAUGUUGGGAACGCAUGAUCACGCCCGCGUGUUUCCCAUGCGCCAGUUGCAAAAAAACACUCGACUCGUGGUUGACGUCAGAUGGGCUAGUUCCUCAUUUUGCAAAAAAAACAUUCGACCCGUGGUUGACGUCAGAUGGGCUAGUUCCUCACUCGGUCCAUUCUUGCCCGGCCUAGAAGCUAGAGUGAACUUUGGGCCAACAUAUUUGGUGGGGUGGAGUGGAUUUUUGGGGGGCUAGGCUAUUUUAAGGACUUUCAGCUAGCCUAUUUGGAUGGGUGGACUUGCUAUAAUGAAAGUAAGAUUACUUCCGGAAGAAGAUACUUGAGAUUCCUUAAAUAGCUUUAAAAUAUUAAUUUUUUGAACUAACAUGAAUUAAUGACUUAUCAUCUAAAUAAAAGUUUAAGGUGAUGAAAAAUGGAUAAAGUUCUAAGAAAGCCAAAUGAAGCAUUUCUCUACAUUAUUACAAGCUCAAAGAUAAAUACUCACGGACGUUUUAUUCAUAAUCAAAACAUUAUAUGACUUGAAAUUGAAAUAUUAUUGCUUCAAUUAUCUCUUUUGAACAAAAAAAUAUCUAAAUUUGUAUCUUUUAAGAAAUAUUUAGAGCAUCUCCAAAAAAGAUGUCAAAUAUAAUAUAUCAAAAUUUUAUUUGAUGGCUGAUGUGGCAAAUUGAAUAUAAGUACUAAAUCCUCUUCUUUGUCAAUAGAUGUGUCAGAUAUUUAUUUUAUUAGGCCUAGUGUUGCAUUAACUGUUAAAAAAUAAUCAAAAUUAGUUUUAGUUUUUAUUCUAUUGGAUGUUAAUGGGAUCUAUGCAUUAAAAAAUUAAAUUAAAUUAAUUGACUCCUUUGUUUGCUGUCAAAAAGACAGCUAGAAAGUAAGGAGUCAAAUGACUCACAUGUCAUAUUAUAUAUGACAUAUCCAUUGGAAAACACUUGAAUGUCUUUUAAUUAUAUUUGGCAUAUUUGACAUUUCUUUUGGAGAUAAUUUGAGAUGUAUCUAAAUAUGGUACAUAAUAAGGGAAUUGGAUCCUCUCUAAGGCAAAGCCUCGAGAUUCUCUAGAUUGAAUAACAUAGAUCAUUAGAUUUUGACUCAACAGCUACAAACAGGGGGUUCUUUAAAAGUUAUAAUAAUUAUAGCUGUUAGAUUUGAUCCAACGGUCUGUGUUAGUCGAUCAGAAGAAUCUCGAGACUUUGCGGAGGAUCCAAUUCCCGUAAUAAGUACGUAGGCCAAGCCUUCGAGGUGACUUGAAGCCGCCUUCGAGCUGACUUGAAGCUGCCUUUUCGAGAAGCACAUCCAAUCGUCGAUGUUGGCUCCCAAGUAUAUGUCAAAAAUGCCUCUGAGAGAAGAAAAAUCUUCAUUUAGCUUCAUGUGUAUUUUAAUUUUUAGAGGAAAUUUUUUCUUUACACCUAAAUUUAGCCUCUCGACCCUCUUAUUUUCUAAAGAUCUAAUUUACCACAAACAUUUUUCUGAACAACUAAAAUAAUUUAUUAAACUUAUGAGAAUUACUUUAUAGAUUAUGAAGACUUUCACCUAUAUUUCUCUUCCUUUGUGUCACCCUCUUUUCACAUAUCAAACAUAUGAAGACUUUCAGAUAAUCAAAGGAAGUCACCAUUAGAUAAGCAAAAGGUUCUGAUGAAUUGAAAUGAGUUUUUUGUUUAUGUUUGGAAAUUUUCUUGAUGGAGAAGAUGAUUGGGUUACAACGGGAGAAAUAAAAUCAGGGUUUCAGGGUAUGAUGAUUUGUUCGCAAAGAGAGGAGAGAGUGUUGCUGCUCGAAAUAAAAGUUGAUGUUCUUGGGCGACGCGAGCGUGACACAAGCGUUGGGAUGGUGGUUAGCUGUUGGGGUGAUAAGUUAUGAAGUAAUUAAAGAUAUAUGAAAUGAAUUAUAUCGUUGGAAAGAAAAAAAAAACACGUUAGAAGACUUCGUUAGAUUUUAUUUUCUUUGAUUGAGCCAAAAUUCAAUUGUGAUAUAGAAUGUACUAGCAACGGUGCCAGCGCGAUGCUGCGGGUUUUAAAACUGUAUAAAAUAUGCAGAAAGUUCUAAAUACAUACAAUAUGCAAUACUAUUUACAUGUAGAAAUCUAUUUACAACCAUGGUUUGGCGGUUCUAUUGCCAUUGUUCUAAUAUUUACAUCUUUUACAAAUUAAACUCCUGUCCUUAACCGUACAAAUUUUUUUGUAUGUAAUUUUAUUUACAUACAAAAAAUAAUAUUUGAUGUGUAUAUACAUACUAUUUACACACACAAAUUUGGUAGAUUGUCCCUAUUGAUAUUCUCAUGAAAUAUGCAAAUAAUCAGCCUAUUUACCCAAUCAUAACAAAACAGUGUAGUUGCAAUUGACUUUAAGUCAUCAAUAGAACAAAAUACCUGAAGUCGAAGAUAAACCUGAUGAAUGUAGAAAUCUUCAAGCCCUAAACAGAGUGGCCCUGCUUUUUGCAACAAAACAAUCCUUUUAUUACAAAAAAUUACAGGAAAACCUUUCAGAAGUGGAAACAAAAUUAAGUCAAAUGAUUAGGGUACCAUAAUUUUCCUUGACCAUACACAAAUAAAAUUUAAAUUAAAAAGAAAAAAUGAAAAGAAAAAAAAGCAAUCUCAAAUACACAGAUUGAAAACUCAUUAAACAAUUUAUUAAGCAUAUAUAGGUUCACCCAACAGAUGAUCUUAUUUAAUCACACCAUUUUAAUUUAUCAAAUUGAUUAUUUAAUACUGUCAUGCUAAACAAUUGUUCUGAUAAUACCCUCUCAUCACACCAUUUUAAUUUAUCAAAUUGAUUAUUUAAUACUGUCAUGCUAAACAAUUGUUCUGAUAAUACCCUCUCAUCCCAGUACGAUGAACAAAAAAUUCUUCAAUCUCUUGCAUGUCCAUUUCAAUUCUUAAAACCGAAAGAAAAUAUUAAAGUUUCUUUCUUACCGAAAUCUACCAAUUUGAAUCAAAUCCACCAAAGAAGCAUACAUGUUCUUUCCUUGAAUUAUACAUAUAUUUGAGAAGAUUCAAAUAAAGACUAAAAGGUCGUACCCAGUGCACAAGGCUCCCGCUUUACGCAUGGUCUGUCAGAGGUAAAUGUUGGCUAGCCUUAUCCCCAUUUAUGGAGAGGCUGCUCCCAAGUCUCGAACCCGAGACCUACCGCUCAUGGACAAAAGCACUUGCCAUCGCAUCAAGUGCGACCUCUAAACGAAAUUCAAAAUUCAAAAUUCUUUCUCCCCUUAAACGAAAUUAUAUACAUGCAUUUAAUUAUCUUAAUUUCCUAGAAGCAAGUUGGAUAAUGUGUAAACGUAGACAUUAUAAUGCUCAGCAAAUAGGCUAUCUUUUACAGCGAGAAAUGGUAAGCUUAAGAAAUUAAAUUACCAUAUCACUCAAGAAGUAUAAAGUUCGAAAAGGGUAAGUAAAUAGACACACAGAUAUAUAUCUUUGAUGCACAGUCCACCCUAGUCGUCAAUGGAUGUACAGCACCAGGAACACUAAAAAGCCUAGCAAAUUUUUGUAAUGGGGCUGGAAAAUUGAAAGUUUAAAUAGUAAGUUAACAACUUAAAAUACUAAUUGGGAUUGUAGCAUAGCUUGUAAUUUAAUGAUUAAAUUGCGAAGCACUUGAAAAAAAAAAUUAGAGGAAAAAAAAAGUCAUUAGCAACCCCCAUAGUUGUUGUUAAGAUACAUAUAUCUACAAAUAUAAACUUUAUCUCACCUCAAAGAGAACGGCAAACAACCACACUCAUUCGCCUAAUGAAAAGAAAUUGAACAAAUUAGGAUUCGGUUGGUAUUAAAUUGAAAUGGGUUGAAAAGAAAUUGAACAAAUUAGGAUUCGGUUGGUAUUAAAUUGAAAUGUGUUGAAUAUUAUAUCACAAUGAUUAAAGAAAACACAUAAUUUAUGUCUUUUGAGGGAAAUCAAAUUACCUAACUGAAAUUUGUUGGAAAUCAAAGGCUUUAACCUCAUAUUGGAAAUCAAAGCAGAAAUAUGUAAAAGAGCGGUGACAUACCUGUGGAACUCUCGAGCAUGGAAAGGCUCUGGUUUCUUGCAAAACAACGGAAAAUAAAAUAAGAAACCUGCUAGAAAACUUGACAAUAGAUUGGUUAAAAAACACUUUGAAAUACAGUAAAUAUUCUUUGUGCCACUUGGUGAUGAUAAACACUAUUUGUUUCCGGAUGAAAUUAAGCAUCCCCAAAAAAAAAAUAAAAAAAUAAAAACAAAUCAACUUUACAUAAAAGUUUAUAUUACCUGUCCCAAAUCAACUGGAGAACUCAUAAUAGAAUUUCUACCUUCCAAUUUAUCGUAACCUUUUCCAUCUUAGAACAUUCAAAAUUUUCAACAGAACAUGAAUUCUAUAAUGUUGGUUAAAUUAUCUACACUACACACAUGCAGAUUAAGGCAAAUACAUAGCUAAUUACGGAACAAAAAAACCAAAACUUGUGUUUAACAUGCAUAACAUACUUUAACUUACCAAUAAUGAAUUUACAUGUCUGGCAUGGUUGGGGGGUUUGGGACAGAGACAAAAUAGUUGCCUCAGCUGCAAUUUAAUUCAUAUGCAUCUGCUCAAGGAUAACUCAUAUGUAAGAGAGGGUGUUCGUGCCCAAACGCACAUACCUUUAAAAGCACAGAUAUAUGUAUGCAUGUAUAAAUAAAUGACAAAACAGAACCAACCAUCCAGAAAAACAAAAGUAUAAAAUGGAAGUGCAAAAUCAAGCAAACAUUCAAACCAUUAUGCAAUGUUGCCAGAAAUAACUAAAAAUAUUCAUUCAAGUUCAAACUUUUCCACAAUAAAAUACACAUGCAAAAGGUCAAGAGUCGGAGACAGUGGGAGGGAUAGAAGAGAGAGAAGUGAUCUGAGAGAUGAGAAGCGAGAAACGCAGAGGGGCUUCCCCGAUCAGAAUUUAUCCCAAUCAACAAAUAAAACCCAGAUUUCAAAAAUUAAAAUCAUAAAAAAUUCCAACAAAUAAAAGAGAACCCAGAAACCAAACCCAUCAAUCUUUCCUAAAAAGGGAGAACUCACCAGGAAACCCAAGCUUUUUCUGGGUUUCAAAAUUUUCCUCGAAUCCGAACGGGAUUCAGCUGCGAAAGGUAAGGCUAAGUUUCUGAGAUGUUUUCAUUUUUGAGAUAGGGAAGGAGCCAUUCACGAUACUGUAUGAUUUCCAUUUGAGGUUGAAGAUUGGAACAAUCCGGAUGAAUUUUGGUUUCGGGAUUGAUUUGGUUGAACGCAGGUUUUUGUUUUAAUUUCAGGCGUCUGGAACAAAUGAAAAAGCUUUGUUCUGGAAACAAAUGGAAAAGCCACGAUGACCAACACGUGUAUAUUAAGGGCAAAUUAGUAAAUUUACUGUGGAACCCAGGGAAACGAGCUAAAGAUGGUAACAGCUGGAAGGGCAAAUACGUCAAAUCACUGUUAAUGACAAAAAGUAAUUCAGCAGAAUCACAAGAAAGUACUGAACUAUUAGGAAAUAUUGUUCAUAAUAUAGAAAAACCAAAAAAUAGUUCCUUAAUUAUCAUAAAUUGUGAAAUAAAAUUAGCAAAAAAACACAAAAUACAAACAUCAACCAUGAUAGAUACAUGAAGUACAAAGAGUGUGAUAAGAGACGAGUUAGUUCCGGAAAAAUAUAGAUAAAAAUUAGCAAAACCAGUUAAAAUAACACAGUUUGAUAAACCAGUUUAUUUAACAUAUUGCAUUAAUAAUGAGUCUAUUAAAGUAGAAAAACAACAAUUUAAUUUACCAUUAACAUUUGUUUCACUAGUAGGAUCAUACCCAUUCAGUUUAGGUUUAAACUUUUUGAAAAGUUUGCAAAGUUUUUUAUUUAUGAAUCCUAACAUAACAUUUUUUAAGAAAGGUAUUACAAUAACUAACCAAAGUAAUACUGUAGAAGCAUACAAAAGCAUAAGUAUAUAAAAGUCUAAUGGCCAAACUAGUUAUUAUUUAGAAAACUCAAAAGAAAAUGAUGAGCAUAAUAACAUAGAAGAGUUUGAUGAAAAAAUAUUUGAACAUGAAUAUCUAAUUUUAGAAGAAGGAACCGGUAUAGAAAUAUUAUAGUCAGAUAAACCAAAGAGUUUAGAAGAGUGAUUACAAUUAGCAGAACAAACUAGAAUCAUAUGAGAAGACCCAUAAUUGCAUUGGUGUUAAAAUAAAAUAUUAGCAAAAAUAGAUAUAAUUAACCUAGAUUUAACCAUUAAGACAGCUAAUAUACCUUGUAGUUUAUUAGAUAAACAAGAGUUUUAACAGCAAAUAAAAGAGUUGUUAAAUUUAAAAGUAAUUAGACCUUCAAAGUCUAAACAUAAAUCAGCAACAUUUAUCGUAAGAAACAUUCAGAACUAAAGAGAUAAAAUGUUAGAAUAGUUUAUAACUACAAGAGGUUAAAUGAUAAUAUAUAUGAAUAUAGUUAUGAGUUACCAAAUAAGGAUGAACUUAUAAAUAAGAUUCAAGAGAGUAAAUAUUUUAGUAAAUUUGAUUGUAAAUCAGAUUUUUGGCAAAUAAGAUUAGCAGAAGAAUCAAUUAAGUGGACAACUUUUACUUGUCCAUAAUGACAUUUUCAGUGGUUGGUUAUGCCAUUUGAACUUAAAAAAUGCUCCAUCGAUCUUUCAAAGAAAGAUAGAUCAAAUUUUCGAGAAAUAUGAUAAUUUUGUAAUGUUUAUGUAGAUGAUAUUUUAGUACAUAGUAAAAAUAGAAAUGAACAUAGCAAGCACUUAGAGAUAAUUUUACAAGAAUUUAUCAAUAAUGAAAUUGUGAUUAGCAGAAAUAAAAUAGCAUUAGAAAUGUAAGAUAUAAAAUUUUUAAGAAUGUAUAUUAAGUCAAGUACAAUACAAUUACAAGAUCAUAUAGCUAAAAAGGUCUUAGAUUUUCCAAAUAAGAUAAAAAAACAAUUACAAGCAUUUUUAGGAUUGUUAAAUUAUGCAAGAAAUUUUAUCCCUCAUUUAGGAAGAAAAAUAGCAGUAUUACAUAGUAAAACUAGCAAAACAGGAUACAAGUAUUUUAAUAGUGAAGACAUUAAAUUAGUCCAAAAUAUAAAGGAAUAAAUUACUAAACUUAAGCCAUUAACAUUACCAUUAGAUGAUAGUUAUAAAAUAGUCGAAAAAGUUUCUUCAUCAUUAAGAUGGACAAGUAUACUGUACCAGAAAAAACAUAAGGAGUCACCAAAGUCUGAUGAAAAAAUUUGUAGAUAUUCAUUAGGAAAAUUUAGUGAUGUACAAUCAAGGUUACAAGCAACAGAGUUAGAAAUUUUAGGAAUAAAUAACUCGCUUGAAACAUUUUUUUAAUUUUUAUAUAAUAAAAUAUUUACAAUUAGAACUGUUAAAAUACAGUUUCUCAUUAUAAUAAGAUAUAUGAUAAUAAAUAGGCAGCCGCAGAAUCAGCCAAGCCAUAUAAAAGUAGGCUCCCUGCCCACCUCCAUACUUAAAUCGCCGCCUUCGUCUACGUCUGUCUCUCUCACUCAGCUGCGACUUUUAGAUUCUCUCUCUAUCGCCACUCGCCGCCUCGAAGCCGCAAUGGUAACUCUCUCUCUCUCUCUCUCUUCUCUUCUCUCUCUGGUAUUAGCUGGUGAUCGAUGAUUUGGUUCGAAUUUGAAUUUGUUCCUGUAGGCUUUGUCGAACCAACAGACUGUUGAUUAUCCAAGCUUCAAGCUCGUCAUCGUCGGCGAUGGAGGCACUGGUAAUUUGCAGUUUCCUUGUUCUGUUUCUUAUGUUCUGAGUUGAUGUUUUCAUCGACUGUGUUGGCAUGAUUAUUGCAACUUUAAAAUUAGGGUUUUGAUAAGAUUUUGGAUUUGGGGUAUUGUUGGCACAAUUAUAACACACUCCCUCCCUAAGAAGAAUUUGAUUCAAUUGUUCGGAUAUUUACAAUUUUGACUAAAAUAUUUAGUAAAUUGAAAAGGCACAAUAUUUGGUUUGAUAUGUGAUACUAUCUAAUUAAAUUGAUAUUGAUGGAAAUAAACAAUCUUCUUAGGCCUUCUCCAACCCUGGGCUAAAACCCAAAUUUCCCCUUCCCCCACCCCAAAACCCAACCCAACCCAAUCCAAGUGCUAAAUAAAACCUAAAACCUAAAACUCACAAGAGGGCCAAAUACCGGCUAUUUUUUAUGCCAGAAAUCAAAAUGGGGCCCACCGGUAUGAGUGAAAAGUGGGUUGUGAAGCCCAUAUGCCGUCGCCCACUUGCCCAACGCGCAGCACGCGCCAGGGCUGAUCCCAGCGAGACCCCACCCACGUGGGCGUGUCAAGCCAAAUUCAAAUCGGUCAGGUAGCCUAACGGCUACUUUUCUGAUCCAACGACCAGAUUUAUUGAAUCCAACGGUUUAGAUCAAAUAUAACGGUAAAAAAUAAAAUCUAGUGGCCCAAAUUUAAAUCCGACGGCUAAAAUAAUUAUAAAAAAACUAUUGAAGGUUUCAUUGUCAUGUGUGUUGGUUUGUGUUUCAUGCAUUUCAUGUGUUUUGUAUGUAUGUUUGUAUGUUUUUCGUGUGUGUCAUGUGUUUCACAGGUGUUACGUGUGUGCUUCAUCUUUAUCAUGUGUUUUGUAUGUGCUUCACAUGUGUUUUGUAUGUGUUUCAUAUGUGUUUCACAUGUGUUCUAUGUGUUUUGUGUGUUUCAUGUAUUUUGUGUUUAUACAUCUCUAUCAUGAUUUUCAUAUUCUUCCAUAGUGUUUCGUGAGUUUAUGUAUCGAUUUAGUGAUUUUUCAAUAUUUAUCGGAAUUUAAAUAUUUUUAGAUUAUAAUGUUCAUAAAAUUAAUUUAUGAUAGUCUACAUUUUAAGAAAAAAAAGUAUCCCAAAUUCAUUCUUUAAUAAUAUAGUGCUAAAAUUUUAGGUCUGAAGAGUUGGAGCAGAAAAGCUGUUUCUGGGCUAAAAAUUUUAGGUUUUAGGCCAAGGUUGGAGAUGGUCUUAGAGGGAAAUGAUUUACAUCUAUUUGUUUGUAAAUGUGAUUAUAUUCCUGGAAUUUUUCUUUUGAUAAAACUAGUGAUAAGAGCAAAGAAAUUCGAAGCUUAACACCGAUUAAUUUGGAGAGACAAUGCCUUGGAGAGAAGAAACAAUUUUAACUGUUCUCCAAGUUAUAGUGUUGUGUGGUGAUUUGGAUUUGAACUGAAUGGUGAUGAGUUGUGCAGGAAAAACCACUUUCGUGAAGAGGCAUCUCACUGGUGAAUUCGAGAAGAAAUAUGAGCAUAAGAGACUUUUCUGACAUUUCCGUCCAUUGCGCCGUGUUGUUAGUUUAUUGUUAUAAUUAGUUUGACCUUGAUAUGUUUGCUUAUACUUAACAUUCAUUUUCUGUUACUUUUCUAUGCAAACAGCCACCAUUGGUGUGGAGGUUCAUCCACUGGACUUCUUCACAAAUUGUGGAAGGAUCCGCUUUUACUUCUGGGACACUGCUGGGCAAGAGAAG
rnacentral:lncRNA from 1 species